AGCAGGGCCAUCUGUAGGUGAUGCCCUCUCCUCUGUCUAUCCUCUUGUGAGGUCAAUCCAGCAGGAAGUCCAGCCCUGCCGAGAGAAGGGGGUACCAUGAAUGCACCGAUGGGACCAGAGUCCCUUCCGGAGCUCCCCAGGUCCCAGCACUGCUGUCCUCCUUGUCUGCCUGUGUCUUCUGGAGCUGGCCUUGAGGCCCAUGAAGAAAUGCAGCCUUUUGAAGGUAAAGCAAGGACUACUUGAUGCUGAGAUAGACAGGGUGCCAGCACCCAGCUCAGGUCAUGAGAAGCUGAGUUCACUGUAAGAACCCUAUAAACAUCUGCAGCAGAUGGACCUGCCCAAGGUGAGGGUUCAAUUUUCCCCUGUGAGAACAAGCCGACUAGGGAGGUACUAGCCGUGCAUGAGGUCAUCCUGACUCUCCUCUGAGAGAAGGAUGAUUCAGCCUAUGACUCUCCUCCGAGGGAAGGAUGAUUCGGCCUAUGUCCCUGUCUUCCUCUGCAGCCUUGCCCUGACAUCUGGAAAACAGUGUUUCCUGUUGCUGAGAGAAGAGAUUGCAGAACGUGGUAAAGGAAGCUGAGGAAUGUUGCAAAAUCUUUAAAGUGAGCAGUGGUUGUCAGGCCUCUGAGCCCAAGCUAAGCCAUCGCAUCCCUGGUGACUUGCACGUAUACACCUAGGUGGCCUGAAGUAACCGAAGAAUCACAAAAGAAGUGAAAACGCCCUGCCCCGCCUUAACUGAUGACAUUCCACCACAGAAGAAGUGAAAAUGGCCAGUCGUUGCCUUAACUGAUGACACUGUCUUGUGAAAGUCCUUUUCCUGGCUCAUCCUGGCUCAAAAGCUCCCCUACUGAACACCUUGUGACCCCCACUCCUGCCCGCCAGAGAACAAUCCCCCUUUGACUGUAAUUUUCCUUUACCUACCCAAAUCUUAUAAAACGGCCCCACCCCUAUCUCCCUUCACUUACUCUCUUUUUGGACUCAGCCCACCUGCACCCAGGUGAUUAAAAAGCUUUAUUGUUCACACAAAGCCUGUUUAGUAGUCUCUUCACACGGACAUGCAAGAAAG
rnacentral:lncRNA from 10 species